rnacentral:rRNA from 1 species
GGCGAUACCGCGGACGGCUCAUUAAAUCAGUCGUGGUCCAAAUGGGUCCGUCCUCACGGUAUACUUGGAUAACCGUGGUAAUUCCAGAGCUAAUACAUGCAACUCAUAUCCCGAGGUGUGCUUGCAAAAGCAUACCGACGGAAGCACUUAUUAGACCAAUGCCGAACGGCUGGUGGUGCGCCUUGUGCGCGCUCACUGCCGCCGCCCGCAUAAAUGGUGACUCUGGAUAAUUACUUGGACGAGCGCACGUAUCUGUUCAAGCAGAACGGCGCCGCCUCUUUCGAGUGUCUGCCUUAUCAGCCAUCAAUCGCUCGUUAUGUGCGAACGAUGGCCUUGACGGGUAACGGGGAAUCAGGGUUCGAUUCCGGAGAGGCAGCCUGAGAAACGGCUACCACGUCUAAGGACGGCAGCAGGCACGCAAAUUACCCAAUCCCAGAACUCUGGGGAGGUAGUGACGAAAAAUAACGAUGCGGGCGCUCCUUCUGGAGCCCCGCAAUCGGAAUGAGUAUGUCUUAAAUAACCUGUCGAGAACCCACUGAAGGGCAAGUCUGGUGCCAGCAGCCGCGGUAAUUCCAGCUUCAGUAGCAUCUAUUAAAGUUGCUGCGGUUAAAAGGCUCGCAGUUGGAGCCACUGGUGUUUGGUAUAUGGAGCAGCUGGACGUUGGGUACCUCGUGUCCCCGUCCUGUUGUCUGCUCCUGACUCUAUGGCACUGAAUAUGGGAAAGCCUCGCGCGGCUUGGGCGAUUUGCUCAGAGGUGUUGGUGUUGGACGUUUUGAGGGUAUCAUUGCUCUCUUUUCGUUUCAAGCCCCCUCUGUGUCCUUGCUUGCGCGGGGUGGCUCCUGUGUCACCUUGAGUAAAUCAUGGUGCUCACAGCAGUCGUGCGGGCCUCGUGCCCUGUGAACAGUCUUUGCGGACUGAAUUGGUUUUGCAAGGCAUGACGAAACAUGACGUCGCUGCUGGUCGCGGGCGGAGGAAGAUUUGUGUGCUCCGGCGCGCAUUUUCUCUCUUACCGGUGUGUUUAUGCCAGCAGCGACGUAAUGAUCAAUGGAGACGGUAGCUGGCAUUGGUAUUGCGCGGCGAGAGGUGAAAUUCUGCGACCCCCGCAAGACCUCCUAAAGCGAAGGCGUGCUGCCAAGGA